UACGGGGGGAGCAAGCGUUGUUCGGAUUUACUGGGCGUAAAGGGCGCGUAGGCGGCCACCGCAAGUCACUUGUGAAAUCUCCGGGCUUAACCCGGAAAGGUCAACUGAUACUGCGGGGCUAGAGUGCAGAAGGGGCAACUGGAAUUCUCGGUGUAGCGGUGAAAUGCGUAGAUAUCGAGAGGAACACCUGCGGCGAAGGCGGGUUGCUGGGCUGACACUGACGCUGAUGUGCGAAGGCUAGGGGAGCGAACGGG
rnacentral:rRNA from 1 species